rnacentral:rRNA from 1 species
GGAUCGGCCCGCGUCCCAUUAGCUAGUUGGUGAGGUAACGGCCCACCAAGGCCACGAUGGGUAGCCGGCCUGAGAGGGUGUACGGCCACACUGGCACUGAGACAAGGGCCCGUCCCCUAUGGGAGGCGCAGGCGGGAAUAGUUCACAAUGGGCGAAAGCCUGAUGACGCGACGCCGCGUGAGCGAAGAAGACCUUCGGGUUGUAAAGCUCUGUCAGGAGGGAAGAAGGCUCUACGGGUUAAUAGCCCGUGGAAUUGACGGUACCUCCAGAGGAAGCCCCGGCUAAAUACGUGCCAGCAGCCGCGGUAAUACGUAUGGGGCAAGCGUUGUCCGGAUUUACUGGGCGUAAAGGGCGCGUAGGCGGUUUGUUAAGUCGAAGGUGAAAUCCUCGGGCUCAACUCGAGAAUUGCCUUCGAUACUGGCAAACUAGAGUGGCGGAGAGGAAAGCGGAACUCUUGGUGUAACGGUGGAAUGUGUAGAUAUCAAGAGGAACACCGGUGGCGAAGGCGGCUUUCUGGAUGCACACUGACGCUCAGGCGCGAAAGCGUGGGUAGCAAACAGGAUUAGAUACCCUGGUAGUCCACGCCAUAAACGAUGGGUACUAGUUGUCGGGGGUAUCGACCCCUCCGGUGCCGCAGUUAACGCACUAAGUACCCCGCCUGGGGAUUAUGGUCGCAAGGCUGAAACUCAAAGGAAUUGACGGGGCCCCGCACAAGCGGUGGAGCAUGUGGUUUAAUUCGACGCAACGCGAAGAACCUUACCUGGGCUUGACAUGCUUGGGACAGCGCUGGAAACAGCGUCUCUCCUUCGGGAGCCCUUGCACAGGUGCUGCAUGGCUGUCGUCAGCUCGUGUCGUGAGAUGUUGGGUUAAGUCCCGCAACGAGCGCAACCCUCGUUACUAGUUGCCAUCAGUUCGGCUGGGCACUCUAGUGAGACUGCCGGUGAUAAACCGGAGGAAGGUGAGGAUGAUGUCAAGUCAUCAUGGCCCUUACGCCCAGGGCUACACACGUGCUACAAUGGUCGGCACAAAGGGUCGCUAAGCCGCGAGGUGGAGCUAAUCCCAAAAAGCCGGCCUCAGUUCGGAUUGGAGUCCGCAACCCGACUCCAUGAAGGCGGAAUCGCUAGUAAUCGCGGAUCAGCAUGCCGCGGUGAAUAUGUUCCCGGGGCUUGUACACACCGCCCGUCAUAUCACCCGAGUCGGGAUACCCGAAGUCCGUGACCCAACCAUUUGGAGGGAGC